rnacentral:rRNA from 1 species
AUUGAACGCUGGCGGCAGGCUUAACACAUGCAAGUCGAGCGGAGAUGAGGUGCUUGCACCUUAUCUUAGCGGCGGACGGGUGAGUAAUGCUUAGGAAUCUGCCUAUUAGUGGGGGACAACAUUCCGAAAGGAAUGCUAAUACCGCAUACGUCCUACGGGAGAAAGCAGGGGAUCUUCGGACCUUGCGCUAAUAGAUGAGCCUAAGUCGGAUUAGCUAGUUGGUGGGGUAAAGGCCUACCAAGGCGACGAUCUGUAGCGGGUCUGAGAGGGUGAUACGCCACACUGGGACUGAGAAACGGCCCAGACUCCUACGGGAGGCAGCAGUGGGGAAUAUUGGACAAUGGGGGAAACCCUGAUCCAGCCAUGCCGCGUGUGUGAAGAAGGCCUUAUGGUUGUAAAGCACUUUAAGCGAGGAGGAGGCUACUGAGACUAAUACUCUUGGAUAGUGGACGUUACUCGCAGAAUAAGCACCGGCUAACUCUGUGCCAGCCGCCGCGGUAAAAC